CUUGCAUCGCGGUGACCGGCGAAUCCGCCGAAGGCAAUGCAAGACGCGUACCGGGUGCUGCGACAAUGCGCGGCGCGCGG
rnacentral:sRNA from 21 species